AAACAAAAAAAAAAAAACAAAAAGAAAACCUUACUUUAGAUAUGCUGCUUUGCAACAGCAACUGCAGAACUGAACCGGAACCAUCUCACACGCGCCGCCUCUGAUCUGGCCAUGUUAUCACGUGGACGGUCCCAUUAUAGCUUCCUUCCAAAUUCGUUCCUCUGUAUUUGAAAGCGGUGCAGCAGCAUAAACAUGGCAAACAACUCCAAGGAAGAGCCCAAGACCGCUCCCCAAUCCGAUCGGUGGUACAAUCUAAACCUAGGCCCUUCCUUUAAAGAAGACGCUCCUAAUAAUAAGUACUGCACUCUGCGGUAUGAAUUUAAGCCGGCUUCAAUUGAUAAGGCUAAGACUGGAUCAUUGCACAAGAAUAAGGAAAAUAGGGUAUCUGUGGAGUUUCAAAACAUUCAAUUGGGAAAACCUAAAGUCACAUUUGAAGGUAGCAGCGAGGAUUACAAGGAAAACGAUGCCGUUUUGUUUUUUGACGGCGAGACAUUUCGGUUGGAGCGGCUUCAUCGGGCCGUGAAGCAGCUCCGUCUCCUUCGACAGCCGGGUGAAUCUGCUGCUGCAGCUGCAGCCGCUCAAUCCGGGUUGACCAUUGAGCCUCGGUUAUCUCCUCCGGCUGGGAAGGUUGUGAAACCUAUGCAUGUGGGAAGAAGCGCAGCUUUUCCUCCAGUGCCGGUGAGUUUUAGUUUUCUGUUUAUUUGAUGUAAUUUUGGUGUUGGGACACAAUUGAACAAAUUACAGAUAGUGCAUUGGAGUUGGCAAAUACUCCUGUCUAAGCAACAGGAAUUGGUAAUCAGUUUGUGUGGUCUUAUCUUGGAAUGAGAUUAGCUUAUGCAUAACUAGUUCAAGAGGUGGGGGAAAAAAGAUAGAAAAUAAUAGCGAGAGAAAAUAAAAUGUUUUUGUAGUUUCAGUUACUCAUAUCUGAUUCUGAUAUGAUAGAUUGCGACAAGUCAACAAGGUUCUGUUGCAAUGCUGUUUUGCAAUAUAUUUGUGUGACUGCCUGAAGCUGCAUGUGAGCCUUUGGGUUGCUUGUCAAAUGGAGAAAAUGGAGAAACUUUUCUUCCUUGGCUAAAAUUAGGUCUCUGACAUCAAAAUGCGCUCUUGCUGUAUAAGAAGUUUUGAUUUCAGAUUUUUCUUAUUCAGCAUGUCCAUCGUUAGUGCCUUUCUUUUAGGCUAACGUUUGACCUGUAGAAACCUUAGUAAUGCUCUGAGUUAUCCAAAAUCAAGGCUACAUGUCCCUAAUUUUUUAAUUUCAUAUGCCUAUCAAGUGAAGGGAAGGAGAAAAGGGGCAAGAAAAAGCACUGAGCUCCAGAGCUAAAUAAUACACUAAUGGCAAAUGAGGCAUUGCCAUUUAGAAUAAAAAUGAGGUCAUCUGAUCCAUAAAACUCAAACCUGUUGCCACCUGUUGGAAAGAUCAAAUAUGGUAUUUCUGAUGGUCACGAAACUGAUAUUAGUAUUUGCAUUUUCUGUGGCAAUGGUUUCCCCUCUCCGCAUUGGACUUCCAGGCUAUUGUGUUUAUGCAUCAAUCUGUAGGUGCUUGUGGAUGUUAUGUUAAUUAUGGGUUUUUUAUUUUUGGAUGAACAAAGUUCCUAAACUGUUCAAUGAUUUAUAAAGCGUCUCAUCUUAUUUGAUUUAUCAAUUAUCAGUACUUCAAACAGGUAUUAGUUUCUUAUCCAAAUGAAGCAAGCCUUUACGUCCUUGCUUCUUUAUUUUGUUUCGCCCUGAUGUUCUAAAGUGAUUAUCUGAAGCUCUGAAUUAUGUUCUCAUCCUUCUUCAAGUUUUAUUACUUUCUUUGCUACUGGUUCAGGUUGAGGUGGAACGUAUUGAUGUUGGUGAACCACAAAUUUCAGGUAUGGCCAUGUGGUUUUGGGGCUUAAAUAUAUUUAUUUCUUCAAUUUGGUCAUCAGUUAAACUCACUUGAAAACGACAAAAAUUAAAAUUCUUGUUACAAAUGGAAAUAAUUUAAGUCAUUGCAGCAAUAAGAGUUCUUGCCAGCUAACCUUCUAAAAUUUUCUUCAGAAGUAUCUGACAUAUUCUUUGUGGCUUCUUGUGAAAGGAUGGGCUAACUGGGAGUGUGCUUUGAAUUAAUGCCAAAAAUUUUUAAUUUUUUUUGUUAGUAACUAUGCAGUACUUUCUGCAUUGUGAAAUUUGUAUACUCUGAUGCAUAUCUAACUUUCACAAACUGUCUAGCUUUUGAUUAACAUUAUAAGUGGGGGAAAAAUCUUUUAUAAAUAUGAAUACUCGGUUCUAAUGUACAAUGAUGAAUCCUUUGUUUUCUUGGAUUUCUUUCAGAACUCUGACAAAACCUGUUGAUUUCUGCUUCUGAGUUGUGUUCUUCACUGACCUUUUUUUAGCAUGAGGUUUUAUUCUCUUGUUUGAUUUUCCAGAGGAAUGUACACUUUCUGAAGAACCUUUUAUCCUUAAAGGCUCUUCAUCAUGGAUCCAUUCAUGCAAGUCAAUUAUGUCAGGACCCUUCUAAAUUUAUAUUUUAAAUAUCCACAUGGACCACGUCCUAAUCCACUUUGUAAUUAUAUGCAACCCUAUUGUGAAGUUGAGAGAUAUGCAAAACAUAAAUGUCAAACUUUGGUCUAAUUUUUCCUUGUUACCUGUCUGGCUGUCUCAGUCUCUGUUCAUAACUAUAUACCUUCUUUGGGCAAUAUUUGCUUUCUCUCUCUCUGAUCUCCUGAAUAUAUUUAGAAGCUCAAUUUUAAGCUAUGAAGGAGAUUUGUGACCCUCUCCGUUCGCUCUAAGAAGAAUUUUCCGUGUUACAUUGGCCCUUACCACUACCCUCUUCAAUGAUGUUAAUAACUGACCUCUAGCAAGUAGAAAAAUGGUGUCUAGGGGGAGCUUUCAGCUGAUUAAUUGUAUAUUAACUAUUAAUUGUCAAAUGUUGUCAUGUGUAAUAAAUGAGUUUGUAGUUUGGUGUAUUAUGUCAAGACUGCAAUGUUGCAGUACAUGUUUUCAUGUGUGAUAAUGCUCCUAUUGAAUAAUAGGUACAAAAGUUUCAAGUAAGGGGAUUUCUGGGCAUCCAACUGAUCCACCAAAUAUAUCCACUUUGUCACCUAGCCCCAAGAAUGAUGAAGCUGAAGACCAUCAAGAUAUAGAUAUUGAGGACAUAUUUGGCUCUAGUUCACCUUUUGAUAAUGCAGCUGAACAAAAAGGCAAUGCUGGAUUUGAUAUUAAUGUACCACAGCAAAACGAUACUGAUGAUGAGAUUGCUGAUGUGGAUGAUAGUGGUGAUGAGGUAGAGAAGGGGCGCAAUGCUGCAGAAGCCCUUAGAGCCCAGGUUAAUGCAGAGGAGCAGGAUGAGCAGACUUCAAGUUCUACCAGCAGCAGUGGUAGUGGAAGCAGUGGAAGUGGGAGCGGUAGUGGGAGCAGCAGUAGCAGUGACAGUGAAGGCAGUGAUGAAGAUUCGGUUAACUCUAUUUGAGUGUUUGAACAACUCUCAGAAAACAAUGAGAGUACCAAAUUGGUAUUUAGAAAACUUUCCCGUCUAACAGAAUAAGCCAUCCUGGUUUUAGGGUGAGGCACUUUCCUUAUGAACGCUUUAUGGUGUGCAAAUAAUUUAGCCAUGUUGAGUGUCAAAGAUUAUCAGGUGUCUUGUAUUUUUGUGAGUAUAAGGUUGGAAGGACACAAUGAGACUGCCUUUGGAUAUUAAGAAAGAGUAUUUUUCAGAUUGAUUUUGGUAUUUUCGUAGUUGGUAGAACAUUGAAGGGUUGUGUGAGAAUAGAUAUGGAAUAAGAGAGAUAUAUGGACAAUAUUGGUCAUAUUCUUGAGUUUGAAAAUUUAUUUUCUUGCAGAUAAAAAAAAUUAUUUUCUUGGUUAAAGAAAAGUAUUUGAUGUGUAUUUUUCAUUCCGCUUUCAUAGUUAUAUGGAAAACUUUA
rnacentral:misc_RNA from 1 species